UUAGCGAACCUAAAAUGAAUACCCAUUAUAGCCUUUAACCAUGCCGCGCAGAGCAAAGGUCGGAAGAAUGGCAAGCUAUUUACCGGAGGAAGUGGUUGUGAAGAUACUGUCGAGGCUGCCUCCAAAAUGUCUGAUCCGAUUCAAGAGUGUCUCCAAAAGAUGGCGUGCUCUCAUAGGAAGCCCUGAUUUCCUCUCCAAAAACCUCCUCAAUGACUCCAUUCUCACCCAGAACCCCAGUCAUCCUCUCCGUCAUAUCCUCCUCUUUGCCAGAGACAAGUACGACCUCGGAACGCUAAUACACUCUUUCCGCUCUUACGACUCUCUCCACUGCGUUCCUCAAACACCUCUGAAUCUCCCAACAGCACCACCACCCUUUGACGUCGUCGCUUCCUGUAAUGGCUUGCUCUGUCUCUGGGCCGUAACGCUAAGCAACAUCUAUCUCUGGAAUCCCGCCACGUCAUCAGACCUUGAGGCUCUCCCGGCCGCGCCUUCUCGCUGUCACACCGGACUUAGGGUCUCUAACCCUGAUUUUGGGUUCCAUAAUGUGGGGUUCGGUUUCGACGCGGGAUCCAACGACUUCAAGGUGGUCACACUUGUAGACACAGAUGAGGACGGGUGGUUGGAAGCCGAAAUAUACAGCCUAAAAUCUGGAUCUUGGAGACCGCUUGAUAUGAGCGUGAACAUUGAGAUACAUCUCGUUUCGCAGAGCGCAGCGUUGGAUGGGGUUUUUCUAUGGUACGACGACUACACAUACGACGAUUGUGUGGACGACAGAAUAGUUGUUUUUGACUUCAACGACGAGGAGUUCCAAAUAAUGCAGUUUCCAGAUGCUAGCCUUUUUUGUGAUUACGAUGAAUACACUCGGACUCUCACGGAGUUGAAGGGAUCUGUUGCUAUGAUGGUUUUUGCUCUUGAUGACGACGAGAAAAAGAAAGAUUUGGAAAUAUGGGUUAUGCUUGAAUUUGGUGUUAGUGAGUCGUGGACUAGACUUCUUAUCAUUCAACUCCCAUUGCAUUUGGAAAGGCCAUUGAGGUUUUGGAAGAACGGAGAGUUGCUUAUGGAGAAUAAUGAGGGGCAAGUGGUAUUGUAUGAUCUUUUGGUACAAACAGAGACGAAUCUUCAGUUUGAAGGGUAUCGGGGAACGUUAAUAGUUGUAGACUGCAAUUUUUUUCAGUUUGAAGGAAUGGGGAGUGGUGUCAUACCUACCCCGUCAUGUUCAUGUUGUUUGCAUUACGCCACCCAAUUCAACGACCAUGAAGACUGUAGGAGAAAACAACAGGAGAUAGAGCAGAAAUUGGAAGACACACAAAUCUUACUGCGGGAUAUGCAAGAAGGUAUGUCGAAGAUGCAGGAAGAGAUAGAUAUGUUAAUGGCACUUGUAAGAAGGCCUGGAGGGAGCUUUGGAGGUGAUCCAAGCCAAGGCAACCUGUGAGUGGGGUGUAGCUGCAAGUGAGAGUUCUAGAAAGAGAGUCACUAGAAUGACUUCGAACUGCAAAUUAGAGAUCUGGAGCCAAAUGGUUGAUGAUUGGCUUGAAAGAUUGAUUGAUGAAAAUGGGGAGGACUUGUAAAGAAUGAAGGGCAUCUUUUGUUGCAAUGAAUUUAGAGUUUUGAAGACCUCAACUGUGCAUGUAGGAUUGACUCAAGUACUCACCUAUCUUUGAAGCAGUUUGUUUUGAUUUUGAAUUAGUAAAUAGCAAUGUCUGAAACAUUUUAGCCAUGAAUAUCUUUCUCUCUCUCUAUCUAUCUAUCUAUGUAUAUAUAUAUAUAAUAUGUGUAAAUAUUCCAAACUGUAGGACCUGUUUGUUGUGUAGGAAAUGUCUCUUUAGAGUUUAGACAGUCAUGUACUCGUUAUAAGUUUCUGCUGCUUCAUUUAAAAUUA